UCACCCACAUAUAGUUAUUCCGCAUGUCACGUCAUAUUACGUAACAUGUAGUGCAUACAACCAGGAAUUGACCUAUAUAUCGUACAAAACCGGCUUACGAAGAAUGCCCAUUACGCUGCAUCAUGGUCGCUAUCUUGUAUCGGCAAGUAAUAGGAGAGCUUUAACUGGUUAGGCUGCAGUCGUCUGAGUCGCCAUUUUCAUACCUUCUAAUCAUGCUGUUACUUCGAAUGCUCGUUUCAGAAACACGAGUUAAUGAUUUGACAAGUGUUACGGCGUCAUAAGCGCGGUUUAAAUCCAACCCAGUGAAGUUAAACUUUAUAUUUAUGUUUCUCCUUACGUACAUAAACUGCCUCGUUAUCACUAUAGACUGUCUAGAGUUUAGAUCGUAACAUUACUGAUUAUUUUCACAAGGCAACUGUAUGGUUUCUGCGGCAGAACUAUCGCAUACGAUAUCAGUGUAAGACAGCAACGAAGAGAAGUGUAUAAGUAACAAAACGAAAGUCGUUAAAAACACGCAACGAAUAAAAUCCACUUCAAAGCAAAGACACAAAUUUACACCAACAAUCAUUCGUAUGCUACAGUGCCAAUGUGUGGGAAUUAAAAAAUGGAACCUUUUAGACAAAUUUUAUCAAGGCGUUUUAAUACGUUUCUGUACAAGAUUUCCUGUUCAUUUUAUUCUGUUUUUUUCAAGCCGCUAAAUCAGUUAUAUGAUGUUAAUUGCUUUAGUUUCUCUGAAUCAGUCGAUUAUAUUACAAUGUACGGAAACAGAAGCAUCGCGAGCAUUGUACAUUUGGUGUAUAUAUGAUACAAUUCAUCGUGUAUGACAGGGCUAUAUCGCUUUGUCUGCAAUAACUUUUUUCGUAAACAAUGUACAGUCAACCAGACGAUGCUGCAUGAUUUAAAACUGCUUCAUAAGCGGCGGAUAAUCGGAUACAGAGUAAUACUAAUAAUCAUCGAAACUCCGACUGAAUGAGUAAAAUGUAAAUACCAAAGUAAAAUGUAAAUACCAAACAAACACGUUUUUCUUCGGGUAAUUUUAUGCCGGACAUUCUUUCUUUCUCGGUGAAGUUCCCGAAAAAAUCUCGGAUUUUUUUCUCCCUUCUUUAAGUGGAAAAUUCUUAGUAAUCGCCCAUGAUUCGAUUACAUUUCUUAACAACGUAUAUCUCCCCAUUUCAAUUCCCAAUAAUAAUCACAGUUGGUAUAGUUGCAACCUGAUGUCGUAAAAUAAACCUUGCAGGGAAUUCUGGAUUUUAUUUCAA